GACGAACGCUGGCGGCGUGCUUAACACAUGCAAGUCGAACGAGAGCGUCGAGAUAGCUUGCUUUUUCUGCAAUCUAGUGGCAAACGGGUGAGUAACGCGUAAACAACCUGCUUUACGGAAGGGGACAACAGUUGGACUCGGACGCUAAUACAGAAUACGUUACGAAAGUUGGUUGACUAACUGAAGUAGGGAAGGCAUCAGUUUAUAGCCUAUCGCCGGGGGAGGGGUGUGCGGCUGUUCAGAUAGUUGGAGGGGUAACGGCCCACCAAGGCGGCGAGCAGUAGCCGGGCGUAGAGGAGUAGCGGCCACGAUGGAGCGGAGGCACGGUCCGGACUCCUACGGGAGGCAGCAGUGGUGAGGCUUCCAGAAUGGGCGAAAGCCUGACGGAGCAACGACGCGUGAGGGAGGACGGCCGUGUGGUUGUAGAGCGCUGUUAUGCGGUACGAAUAAUCUUGCGAUGAAUACCCAUGAGAAGUGACGGUACCGUAAGAGAAAGCCACGGCUAACUACGUG
rnacentral:rRNA from 1 species